rnacentral:rRNA from 1 species
ACUCAAAUGAAUUGACGGGGGCCCGCACAAGCGGCGGAGCAUGUUGCUUAAUUCGAUGCGACGCGAAGAACCUUACCUGGGUUUGACAUGCGGGGAAAAGCCGUAGAGAUACGGUGUCCUUCGGGGCCUCGCACAGGUGGUGCAUGGCUGUCGUCAGCUCGUGUCGUGAGAUGUUGGGUUAAGUCCCGCAACGAGCGCAACCCUUGUCCUAUGUUGCCAGCGGGUAAUGCCGGGGACUCGUAGGAGACUGCCGGGGUCAACUCGGAGGAAGGUGGGGAUGACGUCAAGUCCUCAUGCCCCUUAUAUCCAGGGCUGCAAACAUGCUACAAUGGCCGGUACAAAGGGCUGCUAUCUCGCGAGAGUGAGCGAAUCCCAGAAAGCCGGUCUCAGUUCGGAUCGUAGUCUGCAACUCGACUACGUGAAGUCGGAGUCGCUAGUAAUCCCGAAUCAGCAACGUCGGGGUGAAUACGUUCCCGGGCCUUGUACACACCGCCCGU